GGAUGGGCUACUCGCCUUUCUUUUCUCUCUCUCGCUCGCUCGCUCUACUGCUCUCGCUCUCUCCUGCGCUCGCUCUUACUGCAAAACUAGGUCAAUUGGGAACCCACCUGCAUAUUGAUUGCAGGCUGGCACCAGGUAUAAAGCUAAGCCGGUGCUUCUUUGGAUUAUUCCUCCCAUGCAUUCAGCGCAAAGCAGCAGUAAAUGCUGACACUCUGCGACGGACUGAUCGGCAAGAGUAGAUCAUAUGACAGCCACAGCGCGGCAGGUUGUUUUAUUCCGGCGUUGCGGAGAGGUGCUUGUGUGAUUUCCCCCACCAGUGAGAGUAUAGCGCCUCCGGUCCUGGGGGUGUGAUCGCUGCCUUCACCUCCGUGGCAACUCACACAGCCUUAAGUGAAGAAUCAAGACACCUGCCUAGCCGUUGUUGUGAGGGCUCCUCCUCAGUGGAGCCUGUUGUCUUGUCUUGUCUUGUUUGGUUUUGAAUUGUUUUACCUUGUCUUAUUUGGUUUUAUUAAGUAGGCCUACCAUUUCCUGGUUCGCCUGGUUUUAUUUUAUUUUAUCUCUGGAUUGUUGCGUGUGCCCACGCUUCUGUGAUCGGGCUGAAGCAAUUCUUUGCCCGAGUGUCGUGCCGGGGAUUUUAAAUUGCCCCCGUUGCUGGUCUUAGCCUGUGGGGAGCCAGACCAGCUCGCGAUUGAGGCUGGGACCAUUACUACCAGUACGGGUGGACCCGCGGGGCACAAGCCUUCCCGUGUGUGUGUGUGUGUGUGUGUGUGUGUGUGGUUUCUUUUAUUAAAGCUAUUAAAGUGUGUUUUAGUUCUUUGUAUCAUCUGUAGCGAGCCUGACGCUCAGUGUCCUGUUAUUCUUUUAACAUAUUUUUCUGUGUUUUCUUUUAGUGAACGGAGGACGUACCAGUGGCCCUGGGACCUUAGGUGGUGGGUCGUUUUCACACUUUCUUUUGCACAGCACCGGGUGGGCUGCAGUGAUUUUCGUUUUGUGUGAUUUUCUUUUGGGUCCACGGCUGCUGGUAAGUCCAAGUUCCAUGAUUGUUUUAUUUUCACGUUAAGACACUGUCAACAAUGACGCUACAUUUUGGUUUCUA